GGGGUCUCCUAGCAACUGUCUUAACAAGCUGCAGCUCCCAGAAUUCCUUGGGUAAGAGGGGGAAAGCCAUGACUGUUACCAUGGUGCCUUAAAUGUAUGGCCUGAAUGUGGCCACAGGCUUAAAAGCAGUAGCGCAGUUAAGUAUUUUCAGACUCUAGAUAUAAUGGGUUCCCUCUUUCGAUCACUUUGCUUACUUUAAAAUAUGGCCACCCAUUUUGCUGCCUGAGGCAAUGGACAAGAUGGUGCCGCCCUCUGUUCCAUUUACAGAAGCUAACUGGCAGUCGAACCUGACUUCAACGCUGGCAAUGGGGCAGCAGGCUAGCCUGGGGUGUAGAUGAGAGGUCUGUGGCACGCAUAGCUCUGAUCUCCAACAGAGAGGAAUGGCUGGGAGGGCUCAGGAGAAAUGGGAGGAAGGGGAAGGGGUCUGUCUCUCAAGCAUAUCCUGCAAGUGUCCCCCCCAAAAAAUGGGACAUCCCGUUUUCUCAUGUGAGCGCACAGCGGCCAUUUUGGGUGCUGUGAUCUUGCACAAUUUUGACCUUGCCUCCUCAAAAGGUGUUUUUUCAGGGCCACAAUCUUGCAUGACCCUGAAAAACUGCAUCUUUGGGGCUCCAUGACUCACACGGGCAGGAAGAUGUGCAUCCUGGUUUUUUUGGACUCAAAAUGUCGGGUGGUAUUCUCUAGGUGAUCGCCCUACUCAUCCCAGUGGUAGACUCAGCCCUGCCUGCUGCAUUGUGGACCCACCUGCUCAUUCUGCUGAGUAGGGCACUAGGCAUCGACUCCAAAUUCCUGCCCUGAGAGCAUCGCUACUUAAAAGAGGCAUUCCCUCCUGUGUGACAGAGGAGAAACACCUCCAAAAUGGCGUCUGCUGAGAUUCAAAAGUACUGUGUGUUUUCCCCCCCCCCUUCUUUAGAAAGCUAUUAUUUCUGACGUGAUUUAUGCAUAUUGGACCAAUGGACCAAAAUUCACCUGAUUUAAUCAGUCAAGACUUCUCCAAUCUGAUGACAGCCCUAAGAAAGCUGGAGAAUGUCCCCAGUUUUGUCUUCUGAACUUUGGAUCUCUCUUUUCUGUUCCCUUCUCAUCUAAUGUCUAGGCUCUUCCUCCACAGCUUCCCUCUGCUUCAUUAGGUAAUUUGUAUAACUAUAUUCUAACCCAUUAACCUCCAUUUGCUGCCAGAGGGUGGAGGGGGAGAGGCG